AGCUUUCUGAAUUCGUGCUAAGAUUUCGUCAGACACCAACGUUCCAACACUGAUGAGACUUCCAAUGUAAGUGAAGUG
rfam:Schistosoma margrebowiei strain Zambia genome assembly, scaffold: SMRZ_contig0001392